GGAAUUAUGAGUUUAUUAACAUGGUGAAAGAAAUUGAAGAUAAAAUCAUUUUCUGAGGAAUAUCUCAAGUCUACCAAAGGCUGAAACCUGGAUAAGUCGCUGUAGCUGUUAAGCAUGUCAUUUUGUAUUGGAAGCUAAUAUGAAAGAUGAUAAAAUCCAUAAGGAUAUUAUUUCUAAUUCCUGAAAAAAAGGAGUAACGAAACAAAAAGUCAUUACCACCAUCAACAACAACAACAACAAAAUGAAUCAGAUCAAAAGGAGAAAAUACACCUCACUAAAAAAUAAGCAUCCAGAAUAUCCAGCAGCAUGCUACCUAAAUACGGACUGUGAGGACCAAGAUUGGUGUGAAGAAAC
rnacentral:lncRNA from 1 species